CCGAAACGUUGGAUAUUCAUACUUCAACAGCACCGUCACGUCUGCUUUUGCUCACAAUUGGUCUGACUUACACGAGCGCGGAGGUCCGCUUGGUCCAACCAGCUUUCGAGUCCACAACACCUGGAGAAACUAUUCGCCUGACCUGUACAGUCCACGGAAUCGACCUUUCAGAAAGCUAUAUUUCUUGGUACCACCAGAAACGGGACAGAGCCCCAAGAUUUAUCCUGUAUGGGACCGAUGACAGAGGUGAGGGUUUCUCGGAGAGAUUUAUCGGCCUGGAAGAAGAAUCAACCAACGUGGGAUAUUUGACCAUCACUAACGUGCAGCCGGAGGACGCUGGCGAUUAUUACUGUUACUCAUAUGACGAAAGCUACAUCGGGUACUUCAGGAGCGGAACCAAGCUGAAUAUUCUGACCAAGCAAGCCCACAGUGUUGCUCCUCCUCCCGUAAGAACAGCAAAUUGCAGGAGCCAACGAGGCGACGCUGGUGUGUAUGGUCAGUCA